rnacentral:rRNA from 1 species
GGAUGCCCUGGCAGUCAGAGGCGAUGAAGGGCGUGCUAAUCUGCGAUAAGCGCCGGUAAGGUGAUAUGAACCGUUAUAACCGGCGAUACCCGAAUGGGGAAACCCAGUGUGAUUCGUCACACUAUCAUUAACUGAAUCCAUAGGUUAAUGAGGCGAACCGGGGGAACUGAAACAUCUAAGUACCCCGAGGAAAAGAAAUCAACCGAGAUUCCCCCAGUAGCGGCGAGCGAACGGGGAGGAGCCCAGAGCCUGAAUCAGCAUGUGUGUUAGUGGAAGCGUCUGGAAAGGCGCGCGAUACAGGGUGACAGCCCCGUACACAAAAGCGCAUGUGCUGUGAGCUCGAUGAGUAGGGCGGGACACGUGGUAUCCUGUCUGAAUAUGGGGGGACCAUCCUCCAAGGCUAAAUACUCCUGACUGACCGAUAGUGAACCAGUACCGUGAGGGAAAGGCGAAAAGAACCCCGGCGAGGGGAGUGAAAAAGAACCUGAAACCGUGUACGUACAAGCAGUGGGAGCACAGGUUUACCUGUGUGACUGCGUACCUUUUGUAUAAUGGGUCAGCGACUUAUAUUCUGUAGCAAGGUUAACCGAAUAGGGGAGC